GAUGAAGAACGUAGCGAAAUGCGAUACGUAAUGUGAAUUGCAGAAUUCAGUGAAUCAUCGAGUCUUUGAACGCACAUUGCGCCCGCUAGUAUUCUGGCGGGCAUGCCUGUUCGAGCGUCAUUUCAACCAUCAAGCCCUGUUUAGGCUUGUGUUGGGGCCCUGCGGUUGCCGCAGCCCCCUAAAUGCAGUGGCGGGCUCGUUGUCACUCCGAGCGCAGUAGCGUAUCUCGCUCUGGGCGUGGCGGCGGGUGCUAGCCGUGAAACACCCACUAAGGUUGACCUCGGAUCAGGUAGGAAUACCCGCUGAACUUAAGCAUAUCAAUAAGCGGAGGA
rnacentral:misc_RNA from 1 species